AAGCUCUUUUCCCUAAAGCACAGGAAAUAAUUUUGACUAUUGAGGAUCUAGCAGAUGACGCUUUCUAGGCUGCUCCAAAGCAUCGCAGAGAAAGACAACAACCUGGUUCCUAUUGGCAAGCCAGCCUCAGAGCACUAUGAUGACGAGGAAGAAGAGGAUGAUGAAGACGAUGAGGAUAGUGAAGAGGACUCAGAGGAUGAUGAGGACAUGCAGGACAUGGACGAGAUGAAUGACUACAAUGAGUCGCCUGAUGACGGAGAGGUCAAUGAGGUGGACAUGGAAGGCAACGAACAGGAUCAGGACCAGUGGAUGAUCUAGGUAGACAAGGCAGGGUGGCCUCAGAGAGAUUCCAGGCCAGCCCAAACUACCCUGCAUCCCAACCCCCAACCCCUGCCCACAGAACCAGCUGAUGGCCCCAGUGCCUGAAAGUGCCCUUGGGCACCUCCUCAGCUGCUGCCAGGAUCUGGUCUCCUUGGCCCCUCCCAGGCCAUCGAUCUGCACUUGAAAUCCCCAGGGCCUGAGCCCCACUCCACCUUCCUGGCCAGUACCUCACCCCUUGAUUGGCAGGUCUGGUCUCUUUCUAAGUUUCUUUAAUAAAGACAAAGGAGUGAUUUUCAAA